CCUUUUUUGCAUAAGCACUGUGCUUUAAUAUUGCAGAAACUAGGGCCAUAUAUUGAUUUUUGUAAUAAUCCUAGCAGAGUGCAUACAAGAAGAAAAGUAACUGCACUAGGUUGUGAAUACUGUCCAGUGUCUGUGUCUUAAGAUUUGGUGCAAUGUAU
rnacentral:snoRNA from 1 species